GUGCCAGCCGCCGCGGUAAUACGGAGGGGGCUAGCGUUGUUCGGAAUUACUGGGCGUAAAGCGCGCGUAGGCGGCUUUGUAAGUCAGAGGUGAAAGCCUGGAGCUCAACUCCAGAACUGCCUUUGAAACUACAUCGCUAGAAUCAUGGAGAGGUUAGUGGAAUUCCGAGUGUAGAGGUGAAAUUCGUAGAUAUUCGGAAGAACACCAGUGGCGAAGGCGACUAACUGGACAUGUAUUGACGCUGAGGUGCGAAAGCGUGGGGAGCAAACAGGAUUAGAAACCCUCGUAGUCC
rnacentral:rRNA from 1 species